rnacentral:sRNA from 3 species
GCCCAAAGUCGCACGUGCCUGUGGGUGUCCGCCGAUCCUCAAAAUGGUGAGGGAUAUCGGUAAGGUAACUGGAGCUAACCCCUCCAGUCGGUUUAGCGGCCAACCGCCAGACCGAGGACACCUUGAAGCAACGACGGUGCGGGCCUUU